rnacentral:rRNA from 1 species
UAGGGAAUCUUCCGCAAUGGGCGAAAGCCUGACGGAGCAACGCCGCGUGAGUGAUGAAGGUCUUCGGAUCGUAAAACUCUGUUAUUAGGGAAGAACAAAUGUGUAAGUAACUAUGCACGUCUUGACGGUACCUAAUCAGAAAGCCACGGCUAACUACGUGCCAGCAGCCGCGGUAAUACGUAGGUGGCAAGCGUUAUCCGGAAUUAUUGGGCGUAAAGCGCGCAUAGGCGGUUUUUUAAGUCUGAUGUGAAAGCCCACGGCUCAACCGUGGAGGGUCAUUGGAAACUGGAAAACUUGAGUGCAGAAGAGGAAAGUGGAAUUCCAUGUGUAGCGGUGAAAUGCGCAGAGCUAUGGAGGAACACCAGUGGCGAAGGCGACUUUCUGGUCUGUAACUGACGCUGAUGUGCGAAAGCGUGGGGAUCAAACAGG